UACGUAGGGGGCAAGCGUUGUCCGGAUUUACUGGGCGUAAAGCGCGCGUAGGUGGAACGAUCAGUCCGGUCUGAAAGCCCCCGGCUCAACCGGGGAGGGUGGCUGGAAACUGUCGUUCUUGAGGGCGAGAGAGGAGGGUGGAAUUCCGUGGUGUAGCGGUGAAAUGCGUAGAGAUCAGGAGGAACACCCGUGGCGAAGGCGGCCCUCUGGCUCGACCCUGACGCUGAGGCGCGAAAGCGUGGGGAGCGAACGGG
rnacentral:rRNA from 1 species